rnacentral:rRNA from 1 species
AUUGAACGCUGGCGGCAGGCUUAACACAUGCAAGUCGAGCGGAGAUGAGGUGCUUGCACCUUAUCUUAGCGGCGGACGGGUGAGUAAUGCUUAGGAAUCUGCCUAUUAGUGGGGGACAACAUUCCGAAAGGAAUGCUAAUACCGCAUACGCCCUACGGGGGAAAGCAGGGGAUCUUCGGACCUUGCGCUAAUAGAUGAGCCUAAGUCGGAUUAGCUAGUUGGUGGGGUAAAGGCCUACCAAGGCGACGAUCUGUAGCGGGUCUGAGAGGAUGAUCCGCCACACUGGGACUGAGACGCGGCCCAGACUCCUACGGGAGGCAGCAGUGGGGAAUAUUGGACAAUGGGCGGAAGCCUGAUCCAGCCAUGCCGCGUGUGUGAAGAAGGCCUUUUGGUUGUAAAGCACUUUAAGCGAGGAGGAGGCUACCUGGUUUAAUACUCUAGGAUAGUGGACGUUACUCGCAGAAUAAGCACCGGCUAACUCUGUGCCAGCCGCCGCCGUAAUAC